CCCCGGCCCGCGGCUUAAAUCAUCCUCCGCCGCCGCCGCUGCCGAGGGCCGGGGCAGCAGCUGGCUGGCGGACCCGCGGGCUCCGAGGCCCGCACCUCCAGUCCUGUCACUCAAGCUCCCGCUGUGUGCUUUCAGGUGGCUUUGUACCCUGGGCUCGCCACGGAGCGUCCAGGCAACGAUUAUGUCAGUGGCGAGAUGACAGCUAGGAGACACCCAAAGGGAGAAGCCCAGCCUCCUUCAUGAAGGUGUUGCUGGAGGCGGAGUGGGUGGCGGCCAGCACUCCUCGCCACUCCUUGUUACAAAGUCCUGUCUACCGGCCAGUUUAAUUUGCCAACCGACAGCCCCCUGGAGCCUCUCUGAUCGUCAGACCGGAGAGGGAGGUGAAAUUUUUGCUCAGAUCGGCCCGCCAAUGUUCCUGCGUGUCUUCCCGAGUGCUAAGAGACGAGAGGAGUGGUUCAAGUUUGCAGCGGUGGAGAGAAAUUGGUGCUGGGGGCGGAGAGAGGAAUUUUUCUGCCCAGUGCUUUCUACAAGCAGAGGUGGUGGGGGUGGAUAAUCAGAAGGAGAGGAACACAGGAAGACCUUCUGUAGAGUCAAGGGUCUCAGCGAAAGGCCAAUCUUAGGCUGACUAAGACCCCCGCCCCGACCAGGAAAAAAACAAAAACAAAAAAAACAAAAACACAAAUGCUACCAGGGUUUGUUAGUUCCGCACCAAAAUCAGAAGCGCCUCCCUUUGCCUUGUGAUUGGCUACUUUCUCCCAUUCAGGACAGUCUCCUCACCGCAUUGGCCUAUGAGCAGAUAGAACCUGCCUUCAAGAAUAGUCAGCAAACCAAUUAGGUUUGGGUCUCAGGGAAUUUCGGGAAGUGUAGUUUUCUGGAGUUCUGUGGUCCAAGAAGAUGCCUUCCACUUGGAACUUCUAAAACUUUGCUUUGUAGUUUCAUACUUGUUGAAAGAGGAAGUUAAUUCACCAAAGGGAGGGAACGGAAUAAAACAAAUUUGAAGACUUUCCUAAA